CGGGAGGCGCCAGUGGGGAAUAUUGCCCAAGGGGGGAACUUCUGAGCCGGUGCCGCCGGGAAAGGGAAGAAGUUUUUGGGAUGGUAAACUAUGUCAGACAGGGAAGAAAUGACAGUACCU
rnacentral:rRNA from 1 species